rnacentral:rRNA from 1 species
UACGUAGGGUGCGAGCGUUAAUCGGAAUUACUGGGCGUAAAGCGUGCGCAGGCGGUUCGUUAAGUUCGUUGUGAAAGCCCCGGGCUCAACCUGGGAACUGCAAUGGAAACUGGCGGGCUUGAGUGUGGCAGAGGGGGGUGGAAUUCCGCGUGUAGCAGUGAAAUGCGUAGAGAUGCGGAGGAACACCGAUGGCGAAGGCAGCCCCCUGGGCCUGCACUGACGCUCAUGCACGAAAGCGUGGGGAGCAAACAGG